GACGGGGGGGGGCAAGCGUUGUUCGGAAUUACUGGGCGUAAAGGGCGCGUAGGCGGCUCGCUAAGUCGGAUGUGAAAACUCUGGGCUCAACCCAGAGCCUGCAUUCGAAACUGACGAGCUCGAGUUCUGGAGGGGAAAGCGGAAUUCCUGGUGUAGCGGUGAAAUGCGUAGAUAUCAGGAGGAACACCGGUGGCGAAGGCGGCUUUCUGGACAGAAACUGACGCUGAUGCGCGAAAGCUAGGGGAGCAAACAGG
rnacentral:rRNA from 1 species